CGGUGCGUCCGCAGAGGCGAAUCCAACACGCCGCUGACGGCAUCCUCACACAGAUCGGGUGUGGGGGGGAGGUUUCACACUCACUCAUUCAUUGACCCGCUUCAGUCCUCCCGGUGCUAACACAGUACAGACUGGGAGAUGUACAGCUUUGACUUGGUGCCGUCCAGCCGUUUGAACCACACCUCGUCGUUGUUGACGGUGGUGAUGAUGGCGCUGCGGGACACAAACACACAACGAUGUUAGCACAUGAAAUACAAUACAAUCUUGAUUUUCAUAUUAACAGAUAUCCACAAUAUCAUUUAAAGUUUUUCCAAUGAUGUCAGGUUGCUAAAUAUGGCCAACAGUUCUAAUAAAUUAGGUUUGUGCAUGUG